rnacentral:rRNA from 1 species
UACGUAGGGGCCAAGCGUUGUCCGGAUUUAUUGGGCGUAAAGAGCUCGUAGGCGGUUGGGUAAGUCGGGUGUGAAAACUCCAGGCUCAACUUGGAGAUGCCACCCGAUACUGCUCUGACUUGAGUUCGGUAGGGGAGUGGGGAAUUCCUGGUGUAGCGGUGAAAUGCGCAGAUAUCAGGAGGAACACCAAUAGCGAAGGCAGCUCGCUGGGACGUUACUGACACUGAGGCGCGAAAGCGUGGGGGAGCGAACAGG